rnacentral:misc_RNA from 1 species
GACGAGGGGUCCUAGCGUUGCUCGGAAUCAUUGGGCGUAAAGCGGGUGUAGGUGGCUUUGCAAGUCAGGAGUGAAAGCCCUGGGCUUAACCCAGGACGUGCUUUUGAAACUGCAAAGCUUGAGUGCUGGAGAGGGCAGUAGAAUUCCUGGUGUAGUGGUGAAAUACGUAGAUAUCAGGAGGAAUACCGGAGGGGAAGCCGGCUGCCUGGCCAGACACUGACACUCAGACCCGAAAGCGUGGGGAUCAAACAGG